UUAAAUUGAAGAGUUUGAUCAUGGCUCAGAUUGAACGCUGGCGGCAGGCCUAACACAUGCAAGUCGAACGGUAACAGGAAGCAGCUUGCUGCUUUGCUGACGAGUGGCGGACGGGUGAGUAAUGUCUGGGAAACUGCCUGAUGGAGGGGGAUAACUACUGGAAACGGUGGCUAAUACCGCAUAACGUCGCAAGACCAAAGAGGGGGACCUUCGGGCCUCUUGCCAUCAGAUGUGCCCAGAUGGGAUUAGCUUGUUGGUGAGGUAACGGCUCACCAAGGCGACGA
rnacentral:rRNA from 1 species